rnacentral:lncRNA from 1 species
GGAUAGGGUUUCUAUAGGCAUUGAUUUUGGGUGAUUUGGAGUUGCUAUGACUUUGUAAGAGCUUUGCAAAGUAGAGGUUUGUUUCGGAUGAUUUGGGUUUUAUGAAAUAAAAUAGGGUUUAUGUUUUGAGGGAUUUCGAGAGUUUUGUUGCAGAUCUACGGGUGAAAUUUUUUGGGUUCAUAAUUAUAGUUGUGUUAAAUACAUGUUGUGAAUUUGAGCUCGAUCUAACGGUUAGAAUGAAAGAUAUUGAGGUUUAAGCAGGUCAAGGUCUCAGAAAGUAGAAUUUUAGGUCCAGUGAGGGUUUUUAAGAUUUCAUGCAAUCUACUAGUUGGAUUAGAGUAAAACUUGUGUGAGAGGGUAUUAGACUUGUUUUUCUAUGUCUAUGAGAAAUUUGACACCAAUCGAAUGGCACAAAGAAGUGAAAUUGGCUCUAGAAGGUUGGCAUCAAGAUUGGAGAAGGAGGCCAACUAACACCCGAACACAAUUUUGAAGUUUUCGUCAAUUUGGUAACUCCGAUCCUUUUCAAUUUUUUUUUUUGCUUGUUUUAAACUUGAUUUUUAAGAAGUAUACAAAUUUUGAAUUGAGAUCAACGGUUUAUUCAUUAGAUAUUGAGAUUUAAAUCUGUCAUAGGAAUUAUUAGGAUUUGGAUUAGGGUUUGGCUAGGAUUCGAUUUAGGGUUUGAUUUAGAGUUUAGGAUUUGGAUUAGGGUUUGGUUAGGGCUUGAAUUAGGGUUUGAUUUAGGAUUUGGUUUAGGAUUUAGGAUUUGCAAUAGGAUUUGAUUUAGGGUUUAAUUUAAGGUUUGUUUAGGAUUUAUUAGGGUUUAAGAUUUAGUUAGGUUUGGUCUAAAGAUUGAGUGAAAUUCAAUAGGGUUUUAGCUAGAAUUAAAUUAAGGUUGAAUUGACAUAUAUUUGAGUAAUAUUUGUAUUUAUUCUAAUAUUUUUUUAAGAAUUUUAUUGUUUGUUUGAAAUUUCUUUGAAUUGUUUUGAAUUUAAUUACAUUUGUUUACUAUUAUUAUAGUCCAAUUAUAGCAUUGUUAGUAUUCUAUUAGAAUUAGGAUUUUGUUAUCGCAAUUUCUAUUCUUCCUUCUAUAGCCA